GGCNGGNGGCCUAACACAUGCAAGUCGAGCGGAAACGAGUUAACUGAACCUUCGGGGAACGUUAACGGCGUCGAGCGGCGGACGGGUGAGUAAUGCCUGGGAAAUUGCCCUGAUGUGGGGGAUAACCAUUGGAAACGAUGGCUAAUACCGCAUAAUAGCCCGGUUCUUCGGAAUGGGUCUCAAAGAGGGGGACCUUUUAGGCCUCUCGCGUCAGGAUAUGCCCAGGUGGGAUUAGCUAGUUGGUGAGGUAAUGGCUCACCAAGGCGACGAUCCCUAGCUGGUCUGAGAGGAUGAUCAGCCACACUGGAACUGAGACACGGUCCAGACUCCUACGGGAGGCAGCAGUGGGGAAUAUUGCACAAUGGGCGCAAGCCUGAUGCAGCCAUGCCGCGUGUAUGAAGAAGGCCUUCGGGUUGUAAAGUACUUUCAGCAGUGAGGAAGGUGGGUAUGUUAAUAGCAUACACAUUUGACGUUAGCUGCAGAAGAAGCACCGGCUAACUCCGUGCCAGCAGCCGCGGUAAUACGGAGGGUGCGAGCGUUAAUCGGAAUUACUGGGCGUAAAGCGCAUGCAGGUGGUUUGUUAAGUCAGAUGUGAAAGCCCGGGGCUCAACCUCGGAAUUGCAUUUGAAACUGGCAAACUAGAGUACUGUAGAGGGGGGUAGAAUUUCAGGUGUAGCGGUGAAAUGCGUANAGAUCUGAAGGAAUACCGGUGGCGAANGCGGCCCCCUGGACAGAUACUGACACUCAGAUGCGAAAGCGUGGGGAGCAAACAGGAUUAGAUACCCUGGUAGUCCACGCCGUAAACGAUGUCUACUUGGAGGUUGUGGCCUUGAGCCGUGGCUUUCGGAGCUAACGCGUUAAAGUAANACCGCCCUGGGGAGUACGGUCGCCAAGAUUAAAACUCAAAUGGAAUUUGACGGGGGCCNNCACAAAGCNGUGGGANCAUGUGGUUUAAUUUCGAUGCAACGUCGAAGAACCUUNACCUACUCUUGGNAUCUACCNNAAGCNAGC
rnacentral:rRNA from 1 species